rnacentral:rRNA from 1 species
AUUGAACGCUGGCGGCAGGCCUAACACAUGCAAGUCGAACGAGUGGCGGACGGGUGAGUAAGGUCUGGGAAACUGACUGAUGGAGGGGGAUAACUACUGGAAACGGUAGCUAAUACCGCAUACCAUCGGAUGUGCCCAGGUGGGAUUAGCUAUUAGGUUGGGUAAAGGCACACCUAAGCGACGAUCCCUAGCUGGUCUGAGAGGAUGACCAGCCAGCCUGGAACUGAGACACGGCCCAGAUUCCAACGGGACGCAGCAGUGGGGCAUAUUGAAGAAGGGGCGCAAGCCUGAUGCAGCCAUGCCGCGUGUAUGACGAAGGACCUCGGGUUGUAAAGGACCGUUAGCGGGAAUGCGUUACCCGCAGAAGAAGCCACGGCUAACUACGUGCCAGCAGCCGCGGUAAUAC